AUACGGUGUUUUUGUUUAUUUAAUAAGUGUUUGUCUGAAAGUUUGUCGUGUUCGUCUCAUCUGUCUGCGUCGGAUUACACGUACAGUCAACAGGCUCUGCUAGACAUCUGCAAGAGCAAGAUUUAUAACACAUUUAAUGUAAUUAGCAAGUGAAAUGUAUUAUUGUUAUGAACAUUCCCAUGGAGAUAGCGUUGGAUUACAAGUACAAUCAACAGGCUCUGCUAGACAUCUUUUUUUUUUUUUUACUCUGCUAGACAUCUGCAAGAACAAGAUUAACAAGGUGUUGGAUACUACAACAGAGACAACCAUCAAGGAGCUUGGAUUACUUCGCCAGUCCGUGAUUACACCGGACCCGACUGCGACUACAGCCCCGAUAAAGAGACGUCGGAAACGGUGUGCGAGGAGGCAGAAGAGGGGAAAGCGCAGAGGUAUCCGAGCUAGGCUAGCGGCUAGCCCAACUCGCCCAGCCAUACCAUCCAUCAUCAUGGCUAACGUACGCUCCUUGGACAACAAAAUGGACCAUAUACGACUGCUGAGGUCAGCGAAUCGGACAGUGAGUAACUGCUGUGUGCUUGUUUUCACUGAAAGAUGGCUUAAUGACAACAUCCCCGACUCCGCUGUACAUCUUGAGCAGCUUACAUGCUAUCGAGCGGACAGAGCCCACGUUAACGGAGGUAAACAACGCGGUGGAGGAGUUUGUGUUUACAUACGUGACGCGUGCUGCCAGGACACUGUGGUAGUAUGCAGACACUGUUCACCACUGGCGGAGUUUAUGAUCAUAAAGUGCCGUCCUUUCUAUCUGCCGAGAGAAUUAACUGCGGUUUUGCUAAUCGCGGCAUAUAUCCCUCCAACCUCCAGCAGCGGUGACAGGAAUGCGGCACUUUGUGAACUAUAUCAGGCCAUCAGCGAACAACAGACAGCACACCCAGAUGGAUUUACUAUCGUCGCUGGAGAUUUUAAUCAUGCUGAUCUUAAGACUGUCCUACCAAAACUUCAUCAGCAUGUCAAUUUUCCAACAAGGGAGAAAAACAUCUUGGACUUGGUCUAUACCUCACAUAAAGGAGCAUACAAGGCUUACCCCCUCCCUCACCACCUCACUGUUAUGCUAAUGCCAGCAUAUAGGCCCAGAGUGAAAAUGGAAAAACCGGUUCGGAAAGAGAUUUCAGUGUGGCCGGAUGGAUCAAGGUUUGCUCUUCAGGACUGUCUUGC
rnacentral:lncRNA from 1 species